rnacentral:rRNA from 1 species
GUUGGUGUCUUUGGCGGCGGGGAUCACCUCUUCCCAUUCCGAACAGAGCAGUUAAGCCCGCCAGCGCCGAUGGUACUGCGUCAGAUGUCGCGGGAGAGUAGGUCGAUGCCAACC